UGGGGAAUAUUGGACAAUGGGCGCAAGCCUGAUCCAGCCAUGCCGCGUGUGUGAAGAAGGCCUUUUGGUUGUAAAGCACUUUAAGCGAGGAGGAGGCUACUUGGAUUAAUACUCUAAGAUAGUGGACGUUACUCGCAGAAUAAGCACCGGCUAACUCUGUGCCAGCAGCCGCGGUAAUACAGAGGGUGCGAGCGUUAAUCGGAUUUACUGGGCGUAAAGCGUGCGUAGGCGGCUUCUUAAGUCGGAUGUGAAAUCCCUGAGCUUAACUUAGGAAUUGCAUUCGAUACUGGGAAGCUAGAGUAUGGGAGAGGAUGGUAGAAUUCCAGGUAUAGCGGUGAAAUGCGUAGAGAUCUGGAGGAAUACCGAUGGCGAAGGCAGCCAUCUGGCCUAAUACUGACGCUGAGGUACGAAAGCAUGGGGAGCAAACAGG
rnacentral:rRNA from 1 species